rnacentral:rRNA from 1 species
UACGGAGGAGGCAAGCGUUAUCGGGAAUUAUUGGGCGUCAAGCGUUCGUAGGUGGCUAAUCAAGCCUGCGGUUAAAGACUGGAGCUCAACUCCAGAAGAGCCGUGGAAACUGAGAAGCUAGAGGCCGGUAGGGGUAGAGGGAAUUCCCAGUGUAGCGGUGAAAUGCGUAGAGAUUGGGAAGAACACCGGUGGCGAAAGCGCGCUGCUGGACCGGAACUGACACUGAGGGACGAAAGCUAGGGGAGCGAAUGGG